rnacentral:rRNA from 1 species
GAUGAACGCUGGCGGCGUGCCUAAUACAUGCAAGUCGAGCGAACGGACGAGAAGCUUGCUUCUCUGAAGUUAGCGGCGGACGGGUGAGUAACACGUGGAUAACCUACCUAUAAGACUGGGAUAACUUCGGGAAACCGGAGCUAAUACCGGAUAAUAUUUUGAACCGCAUGGUUCAAAAGUGAAAGACGGUCUUGCUGUCACUUAUAGAUGGAUCCGCGCUGCAUUAGCUAGUUGGUAAGGUAACGGCUUACCAAGGCAACGAUGCAUAGCCGACCUGAGAGGGUGAUCGGCCACACUGGAACUGAGACACGGUCCAGACUCCUACGGGAGGCAGCAGUAGGGAAUCUUCCGCAAUGGGCGAAAGCCUGACGGAGCAACGCCGCGUGAGUGAUGAAGGUCUUCGGAUCGUAAAACUCUGUUAUUAGGGAAGAACAUAUGUGUAAGUAACUGUGCACAUCUUGACGGUACCUAAUCAGAAAGCCACGGCUAACUACGUG